rnacentral:lncRNA from 1 species
AUGCAGUCUCGGGGAGAAGGCAGCUCCUUCCAGCCAGCCCCAUCGUCCCGGCGAGUUCCCUAUUCCCUGAUCCUCGCUCCGUGCCCAGCGAUACCCGCUGUAGUUCCCUAUUCCCUGAUCCUCGCUCCGAGCCCAGCGAUGGUGACGGGGAGCCCCAGGGAUUCCCGGGUCUCCCCGCGGCCCUUCCCGCUGCCUCGCUGCCCGCUGCUCCGCGGGGUGUGCGGACCCAGCUCCCUCCCUCAGCCCGCCGAGCGAGCCUGGCCUUUGUUAGCCUCGCCAGCAGGGUUGGGUUCGGGUUUCUUUUUCCCUUUCCCUGGCCUAGGAGACUGUGGGAGCAAUCCAGCAAUCCUUCGGCCGUUUUUUUUUAUUUUUUCCCCGAGCUGUUCGGUUCGGUUUUGGCCCAAGAUCGCAGAGCCGCGGGAGGAGCGUCGGCCGGGGAAGGAGGGGCCGGCCCGGCCCGGCCCCAAACUCGGCCCAGCCGAGCCAACCGGAGGAAGGACACCAAAUCCAGCGGCAUCAUCUGCAGUGACGAGGGGACGGCGCCAUGAAUGCACAGGUUCCCUGUGUUUAGCCCGAGGUGCUGGGUGCCCCCUUUGUGUUCCCCUUCCCCGGGACGGGAGCCGCCGCCAUUUUCUUCGCUCCCCACCACAAUGCGGCCCUUGUGGGCUUUUCCCCCUUUCCUGGGAUUUUGUUCUGUUUUGUUGGGAGUUUUUUGUUUGUUUUGGUUUGGUAUGCUUUGGUUUGUUUCGUUUUGUUUGUUUCGUUUCGUUUCAUUUAAUUUCGUUUUGUUUAUAUCCAGCGUGUGUGUGUGUGGGGUGGGGGGGGCAGUGCGUUACGGUCGGACAAUUCAAUAUCAUGCAUUUAUUUAGUUUCUUUUUCCUGUGCCGUGUGGGCACUCUGGGAAUAAACGAUUGGGGUUUUUUUCACUUUCACCCAUUGCUGUUAACCUCCUAUUGGCAGAAAGGGAUUGUUCCCCUUUCUUUCGAGGAAACACUCCUUCCAGAGCGUUUUUCUUCUUAA